AAAGAAGAAAGAAACAAGAAGAAGCUGGUGAGAUAAUGGUAGCUCAAACCAGGAGAACAAGUGAAGCAUUGGAGUCGAGAAAAUUAAAACGACAAUUCACUUACUUUGAAGUCGUGCAAAUUACCAAUAACUUUGGGAGCGUUCUUGGUAGGGGAGGAUUUGGAACCGUUUACCAUGGCUACUUGGAUGAUAUUGAAGUAGCAGUAAAGACGCUAUCUCCAUCCUCAGUUCAAGGCUACAAGGAGUUCCAGGCUGAGGUUAAACUUCUUUUGAGAGUUCAUCACAAAAACUUGACUUCCCUUGUUGGAUACUGCGAGGAAGCCAACAACAUGGUGCUUAUCUAUGAGUACAUGGCUAAUGGAAACUUAAAACAUCAUCUCUCAGGUUUGUUCUAUACAUAUACAGAACCAAUGUUGGAGUUGAAAUUUUAUUAACCUUUAAGUAAUUUUGUAGAACUUUUUUAGUGCAAAU
rnacentral:misc_RNA from 1 species